GUCGGACGGGAUCUAUGGCUUCGGCUUUAGUGAGAGUGGCGGACGGGUGCGUAACGCGUGAGCAACCUACCCAUGCCAGGGGGACAGCCCGGGGAAACUCGGGUUAAUCCCGCAUGUUGCGUUGGGGUCGCAUGACCUUUACGCUAAACAAUUUCGGGGCAUGGAUGGGCUCGCGUGGCAUUAGCUAGUCGGCGGGGUAACGGCCCACCGAGGCGAUGAUGCCUAGGGGCCCUGAGAGGGGGAUCCCCCACACCGGUACUGAGACACGGACCGGACUCCUACGGGAGGCAGCAGUAGGGAAUAUUGGUCAAUGGGCGGAAGCCUGAACCAGCCAUGCCGCGUGCGGGACGAAGGCCCUACGGGUCGUAAACCGCUUUUCCACGGGAACAGUCCCCGCCACGUGUGGCGGGUCGAGGGUACCGUGGGAAUAAGGAUCGGCUAACUCCGUGCCAGCAGCCGCGGUAAUACGGAGGAUCCGAGCGUUAUCCGGAUUCAUUGGGUUUAAAGGGUGCGCAGGCGGCCUAUUAAGCAGGGGGUGAAAUAUGGCGGCUCAACCGCCUUACUGCCUCCUGAACUGUUGGGCUUGGAUGCCGUUGGGGGCGGCGGAAUGGGGCAAGUAGCGGUGAAAUGCAUAGAUAUGCCCCGGAACACCGAUCGCGGAGGCGGCUGCCCAAACGGUCAUCGACGCUGAUGCACGAAAGCGUGGGGAUCGAACAGGAUUAGAUACCC
rnacentral:rRNA from 1 species